AUUGAACGCUGGCGGCAGGCCUAACACAUGCAAGUCGAGCGAGCGGCGGACGGGUGAGUAAUGUAUGGGGACUGCCCGAUAGAGGGGGAUAACUACUGGAAACGGUGGCUAAUACCGCAUACUAUCGGAUAACCCAUAUGGGAUUAGCUAGUAGGUGGGGUAAAGGCUCACCUAGGCGACGAUCUCUAGCUGGUCUGAGAGGAUGAUCAGGCACACUGGGAUGUAGACACGGCCCAGACUCCUACGGAGGAGUCAGUUGGGAAUAUUGCACAAUGUGCGAAAGCCUGAUGCAGCAAUGCCGCGGGGAGGAAGAAGUCCUUAGGAUUGUAAAGUACUUUCAGCGGGGAGGCGUUACCCGCAGAAGAAGCACCGGCUAACUCCGUGCCAGCAGCCGCGGUAAUUC
rnacentral:rRNA from 1 species